CCACUUCUCCAUGACAUUUGCUCGGACGGGGGGUCCCAACUGCCCCAAUAGCUUUGGACAUCCCAUGUGCAUUGCUUGAAUGAGCAGGACCCCAGGGUUCUUCCAGAGGAGCAGAAGUCUCAGCAUCUGUUGAGUGUCUACGGCACAACACACACGUUCUGGUGCUGGAGAUCCUGCCCUGGCUGAGCUUCUGGACCUGGUGGGGAGAAAUCCACAAUGAGUACUGAGACGACCGGCAAAAGCCCGGUGAAGGCACCUAGGAGUAGGGCCUGCUUACCCUGGAGGAGUCGGGAGCAGCUUCCACAGCAAGGAGGCUUCUAAGAAAUGAUCUCCAGUGCCCAGGCUCUGAUGCCCAACAGACCUGAAGUUACAUCCCAACCUGAACAGGCGGCUUUUGCUCUCCAGGCCUUCAUUGCCCCACAGUGGGAACAAUAAUAAUAUGCACCUUCUAGGUACCCAAAAGCACAAGAGACAGUGAACGGAAAGUGCUUGGAAGCCCCGUGCCCAGGUGGUGCUGGCCCCAGCUGAACUGCGGGGAUAGAUGUUGAGUGUCCAGGUUCUAGCAUCAUAGAACAGAAUCCGGCCUGUUGGGAAAUCCUGCCUACAAGUAUACCUCCAUUAAUUAGUGUCUUCUGUGAACAUUUUUAUUAAAAAAAGAAGAAAAGCUUCUCAACCCAA
rnacentral:lncRNA from 1 species